rnacentral:rRNA from 1 species
AUUGAACGCUGGCGGCAUGCCUUACACAUGCAAGUCGAACGGUAACGCGGGGCAACCUGUCGACGAGUGGCGAACGGGCGAGUAAUGUAUCGGAACGUGCCCAGUUGUGGGGGAUAACUGCACGAAAGAGCAGCUAAUACCGCAUACGACCUGAGGGUGAAAGCGGGGGAUCGCAAGACCUCGCGCAAUUGGAGCGGCCGAUAUCAGCUUAGGUAGUUGGUGGGCUAAAGGCCCACCAAGCCAACGAUCUGUAGCUGGACGGAGAGGACGACCAGCCACACGGGGACUGAGACACGGCCCAGACUCCUACGGGAGGCAGCAGUGGGGAAUGUUGGACAAUGGACGCAAGUCUGUUCCAGCCAUGCCGCGUGUGGGAAGAAGGCCUUCGGGUUGUAAACCGCUUUUGUCAGGGAAGAAAAGGGCGACUCUAAUACAGUGGCCUCAUGACGGUACCUGAAGAAUAAGCACCGGCUAACUUCGAGCCAGCAGCCGCCGUAAAAC